rnacentral:misc_RNA from 1 species
GAUGAAGAACGCAGCGAAAUGCGAUAAGUAAUGUGAAUUGCAGAAUUCAGUGAAUCAUCGAAUCUUUGAACGCACAUUGCGCCCGCCAGUAUUCUGGCGGGCAUGCCUGUUCCAGCGUCAUUUCAACCAUCAAGCCCCCGGGCUUGUGUUGGGGACCUGCGGCUGCCGCAGGCCCUGAAAAGCAGUGGCGGGCUCGCUGUCACACCGAGCGUAGUAGAUUUUAUCUCGCUCUGGGCGUGCUGCGGGUUCCGGCCGUUAAACCACCCUUUUAACCCAAGGUUGACCUCGGAUCAGGUAGGAAGACCCGCUGAACUUAAGCAUAUCAAUAAGCGGAGGA